GCAAAUGUUAAUUUGCACUUUGCCUCUUCUGCCUGUCUUUUCUGCUCAUUUUUGAAAAUGAGUGUUAACCUAUUUAAACGCAAUGUGCUGUUUUCUUGAACUGCUCGGAAACGAUUGAAAAAGGAUGAAGAGGGGGACAAAGGGAAGUGACAGCGAUGCUGUCUUUGCACUGCGAUAAUGAACCACCCUUAACACUGGACCUUCAAGCCUCAAGUGGGCAAAAGAGAUUCAAUGUCAGCUAAUUAGCUGAAGUUGCUAAUUAGAUUGUUUUUUUCCCCAGGAAAACACAAAAGACGGAGGUUGACAAAGAGAAGGAAUGAUUUACUCUGCUUAAAUGCACAAGGGUGAAAAUUUCAGCCUCAGUUUAUUUUUAGACUGUUCCAGGGGCCCAGCGAAGAGGGAGCAAGGAUGACACGAUCCCUUAUAGAUGGGUGGAUGUGAGGAAGAGGAAAAGGAGGAGUGGGAGGAAGAAAGCGCGGGCACACACGGGUCGGGAUGCGUGCUCAUUGGAAUACUCAUUCCGACAGCUGUGCUCACAAAAGGUGCUGGGCAUGGACACGGCUGGUAAAAUCAAUAGAGCACUAAGUAGAAGACUUGACUAUUUAAUUGGAGCACACAUGACUUUAUUUAAUUUUCUUAUCAGACUUUCUCUACGUUUUUUUGGUCUUGCUGUACUCCCGAGGGAUAUUUCUGCCUCUCUGGAGCAAAACGCUCUGUUCUGUUCUUGUCUGUCAGGGGUUUGGUGCUGAGCAUAAAGUGUGCACUGAAUUCUUAGAGGAUUUUGUGUUACUUGAUGGAGCUGAAAUGGAUGACAGGGGAUACAAAUAUUAAAAAUGAAAUCAAA